CCACGGAAGUCACCUCGAAGUCCCCAUUGUUGAUUGUUGUGUCAAGGAAUUUAAGGUUAGCUUCCUUUUCUAAACUUUAGUAGUUAAUAUAGAAACUGAUAGACUCUGGUUUGGAUGGCCUUUAAAGAGGAGGAUGAGGUAUAAAACCCAGUGAAACCUUGGAAAUUAGUCAGUCCAACAAUCAUGACGACCGCGGGAAAGAGAUCUCUUACAAUAAAAUAUUCUCGGAGAAAA
rnacentral:lncRNA from 1 species